rnacentral:lncRNA from 1 species
AACCCUAAUAGACUUCAAUCAAAUCCUAGGCCAAAUCCUAAAUCUUAAACCUUAAGUAAAUCUUAAAUCUUAAAUCUUAAAAAAAUCCUAAAUCAUAAUUCUUAAGCAAAUCCUAAAUCCUAAACAAACUCUAAAUCCUAAACCUUCAGCAAAUCCUAAAUUCUAAAUCCUAGACUCUAAGCAAAUCCUAAAUCUUAAAUCCUAAAUUCUAAAAAGAUCCUAAAUCCUAAGUAAAUCCUAAAAAAAUCCUAAUCCAAAUCCUAAAUUCUAGUCCAAUCCUAAAUUCUAAUCAAAUCUUAAUCAAA